UUUAUACUCUCUCCGUCCAACAAAGUAUGUAUCAAUUUUAACUAAAUUUGAAUGCAUCUAUGGUAUACACUAAGUCAUAUCUAGAUACAUCCAAAUUUUGACCAACUUGAGAUAUAUUUUGUUGGAUGGAGAGAGUACUAC
rfam:Brachypodium distachyon strain Bd21 chromosome 1, whole genome shotgun sequence.